AGGACUAGACAUUCUUCUCAGUCGCUACCUUUGAUACCAAGGCCUCAUCCGCCUUCUUCUCAGCCUAGGUAGCUCAGGCCUCGGAUUGAGUAGUUCAGGCCUUGGCCUCCUUUGAGGCCUAUCGAGAUUUUAGAACACCCAUGAAGUGAUCCAUGUGGUUGAAGAGCUGAGGAAGAGGUGAAGUCAAAAGAAAGAGAGAGAGAGG
rnacentral:lncRNA from 1 species